rnacentral:rRNA from 1 species
AAGAGACAGCAGUCGCCGCGGUAAUACGAAGGGGGCUAGCGUUGCUCGGAAUGACUGGGCGUAAAGGGCGCGUAGGCGGUUGACACAGUCAGAUGUGAAAUUCCCGGGCUUAACCUGGGGGCUGCAUUUGAGACGUGGCGACUAGAGUGUGAGAGAGGGUUGUGGAAUUCCCAGUGUAGAGGUGAAAUCCGUAGAUAUUGGGAAGAACACCGGUGGCGAAGGCGGCAACCUGGCUCAUUACUGACGCUGAGGCGCGAAAGCGUGGGGAGCAAACAGGAUUAGAUACCCCCGUAGUCCCUGUCUCUUAUAC